CCUGUGUCUGGGUGUCUGCAGGAUGGAGAUUUGGACACCACCCAGGUGUUCCUGCAGGCCUCGGACUCCAAACAUCUGGAGAAGAAGCCGGGCCGCAGGAAGAGGACCUGGCUGGGACUGGGUCUGGUGCUGGGGGCCGGGGCCGUGGCUCUGCUCACCGGGAUGCUCGUCUGGCACUUUCACUUACGCAGUGAUGUCCGAGUGAAGAAACUGUACAUCGGCCAGAUGGGGAUCAAUAACCAGCGCUACCAGGCGGCGUAUGAAGAUCCCAGCAGCUCCGAGUUCAGCCAGCUGGCAGGGCUGGUCAGCACGCAGCUGAAACUGAUUUACUCCAAGAACUCUGUGCUGGCCAAAUCCUUUAAAGGCUCCACGGUCCACGCCUUCAG